ensembl:piRNA 21ur-12637 ncRNA
UUUUGGCUACAAUCACUUCAU